rnacentral:rRNA from 2 species
GCGGAGGAAAAGAAACCAAACCGGAUGCCCCCAGUAACGGCGAGCGAAAAGGGCGGAACCCAAGCGCGGAAACGCGGUGUAUAUCGCGUGUUGUCGCGUGUCGGCGUCGGACGACGUGUCUUGUGCUUAUCGACGAAAUGGCCAUGGAGCUGGCUGCCACAGGUGGGUUAGAGACCCGAUCGACAGGUGCUUGGCCCGUCAGUCGACGUCCGCUAGAGUCGAACUGUUUGAUAUCGCAGUUCCAAAGGGUGGUGAGCGCCAUCCAAGGUUAAACACGAGCGGGAAUCCGAUAGCGAAGAAGUACCGUGAGGGAAAGCUGAAAAGGACUUUGGAAAGAGAGUGAAAAGUACCCGAAACCGCGCAUGCGGAACCGCUUUCGACGACGUCUCGGACGCGUGUCCGUUCGCCCACGCGUGGUACACCUUGGGAAGUUUUUCCCUUGGCGUCUGCGUGCGUCCUUCGGAUUUUCGUCGCAAGC